rnacentral:rRNA from 1 species
CGGAGGAAAAGAAACCAACAGGGAUUGCCUCAGUAACGGCGAGUGAAGCGGCAAAAGCUCAAAUUUGAAAUCUGGUACCUUCGGUGCCCGAGUUGUAAUUUGAAGAUAGUUUUCUGGCACUGGCCCUUGUCUAUGUUCCUUGGAACAGGACGUCAUAGAGGGUGAGAAUCCCGUCUGAUGGGGUGUCCAGUGCUUUGUAGAUUUCUAUCGAAGAGUCGAGUUGUUUGGGAAUGCAGCUCUAAGUGGGUGGUAAAUUCCAUCUAAAGCUAAAUACUGGCGAGAGACCGAUAGCGAACAAGUACAGUGAUGGAAAGAUGAAAAGAACUUUGAAAAGAGAGUGAAAAAGUACGUGAAAUUGUUGAAAGGGAAGGGUAUUGGAUCAGACUUGGUGUUUUGUGAUUAUCUUCCCUUCUUGGGUUGUGCACUCGCAUCUCACCGGGCCAGCAUCGGUUUGGGUGGCAAGAUAAUGGCUGGGGAACGUGGCACUGCUUCGGUAGUGUGUUAUAGCCCCAGUUGAUGUUGCCUACCUAGACCGAGGACUGCGGCUUUCGAGCCUAGGAUGCUGGCGUAAUGAUUCAAUACCGCCCGUCU